GAUGAACGCUGGCGGCGUGCCUAAUACAUGCAAGUCGAGCGAACAGAUGAGGAGCUUGCUCCUCUGACGUUAGCGGCGGACGGGUGAGUAACACGUGGAUAACCUACCUAUAAGACUGGGAUAACUUCGGGAAACCGGAGCUAAUACCGGAUAAUAUAUUUAACCGCAUGGUUCAAUAGUGAAAGACGGUUUUGCUGUCACUUAUAGAUAGAUCCGCGCCGCAUUAGCUAGUUGGUAAGGUAACGGCUUACCAAGGCAACGAUGCGUAGCCGACCUGAGAGGGUGACCGGCCACACUGGAACUGAGACACGGUCCAGACUCCUACGGGAGGCAGCAGUAGGGAAUCUUCCGCAAUGGGCGAAAGCCUGACGGAGCAACGCCGCGUGAGUGAUGAAGGUCUUCGGAUCGUAAAACUCUGUUAUUAGGGAAGAACAAAUGUGUAAGUAACUAUGCACGUCUUGACGGUACCUAAUCAGAAAGCCACGGCUAACUACGUG
rnacentral:rRNA from 1 species